rnacentral:lncRNA from 1 species
CAGGAAAACCAAAGCCCAGCCAGGAGGCCCCACUGCCCACAGCAUUGUGAAGUGUAGUCGUCAACCGUCCCCUGAGCAGGGGAACUGCAAGAUGACAAGAUGAAAGAUGACAAGGUGAUGCUCCAGCCCUCUCAAGCCAAUAGUGUGGGCAGUUUACACAGACAUUUGGGGAGGUCAGAGCCAGACAGAAAGAGGGAGCCCUGUGCUUCAGAACCCAGGCAAAUCUUUGCACUGAGGGGCCACAGAGGAAACUGGAAAGACCUCGGGUUUCAGCCUCUAAAGAGACAAGGGGCCUCCUCCCCAAGGGGGCUUUGGGGGAGACUAAAUAGCUGUGGUUAGUUGCUUAAACUGGCCUGUAAGGUGGGUGCCUGGGACUUAACUGCUGUUUAACUUACUGUUGUUAGUCUUUCAAGUGGUCACCUCUUGCCUUCUGAAAGGUAGAAGGAACCAGAGCCUGCCCAGAACCCCCAAGAUGGCUGAUGCAUUCUCUGGGACUACACCCCAGCCUGCAGGGCCCCCUCCACUGCCUCUGAGCCGUCUGCCUGGGGCACUUUGCCCAGGAGAGGCUGCCCAGUGUGCCUGUGCCUGCAGGCCCCACUGUCCGGGUACUGGGUACCGGUACUUUCCCAGCUGGUCUAAAACCUUAGUGUAGUGACCAUGCUGUCCAAACUCAAACUGAGAGGAUAAUAGUUUAAUGAAUAUGAAGAUGAUUAUAUGGGGAGCACUGAGCAGACUAUAUGAAAGGGAGUCUAUAAUUAAAGAACUGAGGGGCUUGUGAUUAUCCUGCCUGUGGAGCAUGUUGAGGCCAAAAGAUGUGGGAUCUGGACAGACUCCAAAGAAAACUGCCCCAUUGAAAGUUAUGUGA